rnacentral:tRNA from 1 species
GCGAGAGUGGCGGAACUUGGCAGACGCGCUGGACUUAGGAUCCAGUGGGGAAACCUGUGGGGGUUCAAAUCCCCCCUCUCGCACCA